UCAAGAAAGCCUUCUUUCAGUAACAAAGUUCUCCUUUCAAAAUCUCUCUUCUCUUUCAAGCUUCCUCUUCUUUAGUUGAAUCCUCCAAUCUUAGUUAACGAUCUUGAGCUAACAGAAGAUCUCCGAAUAAUACCCUUCUUAUGCUAUAUUCUUUAGAGAAUAAAUAUAUAUGCACGUAUACGAAUAGGUCUUGUUUACACCAAAUUAAAAAAUACAUGUGGGUCUUUACAAUUACAAUUAUCACUAAGUCAUAGUUAAAUAAUAUAUAUUUUUGUAUUACUUGGUGUAAAUAAGAAAAAUACAAGCCUGUAUGCUUUUCUCUUGGCAUAUUUUGAAGCUUUAAAAAAAUGACAAGCGCGCGUACAUGUCGGUUCACUGCCCAUAGACCGUUGAGGGUGGCUUUGAGUCAGACCCUGUCUCCCUUUCUCAGCUUUAUAAUUUAUCUUUUAAUAUUUAUGCUUUUUUUCUUUUGUUUUUGUAUGUUCACAUUUGUGAUUAGUUUCAAGCUGAAGAAAACAGUAGAUUUUUUCUUUUAUUUCUUUUGUUUUUCUUCGUUGGUUUAUAAGAUGUCAACGGAUGAGUCAAAAUGAAUUGAAUCGGUAUAUAAGUCAAAGCAAAAUCAAAAUUUUAUUUGCUUAUUCCUUUUAAAUAAUUUGUAAAAUUACCAAACUAAAAUGGUUUUGUUAUGAAAUAAUAUAAAAGACAAGAACAAUAACUCAAGAACAAGAACAAAUAGAGAGAAG
rnacentral:lncRNA from 1 species